rnacentral:rRNA from 1 species
AUUGAUCGCUGGCGGCAUGCUUAACACAUGCAAGUCGAGCGAGCUGCGGACGGGUGAGUAAUGUCUGGGAAACUGCCUGAUGGAGGGGGAUAACUACUGGCAACGGUAGCUAAUACCGCAUACCAUCAGAUGUGCCCAGAUGGGAUUCGCUAGUAGGUUGGGUAAUGGCUCACCUAGGCGACGAUCCCUAGCUGGUCAGAGAGGAUGACCAGCCACACUGGAACGGAGACACGGUCCAGACUCAUACGGGAGGCAGCAGAGGGGAAUAUUGCACAAUGGGCGCAAGCCUGAUGCAGCCAUGCCUCGUGUGUGAAGAAGGCCUUCGGGUGGUAAAGCACUUUCAGAGAGGAGGCGUUAAUCGCAGAAGAAGCACCGGCUAACUCCGUGCCAGCCGCCGCGGUAAUAC